ACAAAGUCGAGUUUCACAUAAGCUAGGUUGGUUGGUUGGUUGGAUUCGCCAGCGGAAUUACUUACUGAGCCAAGGUCUACUCGCAGAUUGGACCGGGGCACCCAAACCAAAUAAAGCUUCGCGGACCAAAUCAACGACACACCCUAAAGCAGGAUUUUACCCUGCAGGUAAUCGGCUUACACCUUUACCCCGGGGUGUUCAAUAAGGUUCUAGGUCUCUUGAAACCCUAAUUCUCUGUCUAUAAAAGCCUAACUCAUGGUAUAUCACAUCUAAACCCUACAUCUCACAUUUGGCGCCUACUGACUUGAUCGUCGGAGUGUAAUAUCCUAUUGACAGUGUUGUUUGUGGAACAAGUGAAACAAUUGAACCCACAAAAGACAAGUGAUUAUCAACAAGAGGCAUUUCAUUAUGAAUCAAUAAAGUGGUAAUUAAUUAUGAUUAUAAAUUGAUGUUAAAAUUAUUUUGGUUGUAUUAUUAGGGUAUAUAGUUGGAGGGAAUCAUGAAACAGAGACGAAGAAGGUUCGUUCAAUCGGUAAAAUAAAAAAGAAAAGAAAAUGAAAUGAAAGAGUGUGACCUCGGCUUCAGAAGCUCUCUGAUAGAAAGGCUUUAAGGUGAGUUCCAAAUCGUUAACUGCUACAGAUUCCACCAUUCUUCUCUUCUCUUCUCUCAAACACCACCAACUAACUCACUCACUUUUACGCCGUUCCUCUUCUUACUCUAUACAAAGUUUUCACUUUUUGCAUAUUACAAAGAAAAAAAUCGAUUUCUUAAGGGCAUGUUUGUUUCAACUUUAAGAAAAUAAUUUUUCUUUUUAUUUUUAAAAAUUGAUUUUCUAAAACUGGAUUUCGAAAUAUUAUAAGUUUUCUUAUAUUCGUUUAUUUUUUUAAAUUGAAACACUAAUUUUGACGUCAUAUAACAUAAACACACAUUAUUGAAGAUCAAAACAUAGUCAAAAUCACAACUUUUUCAAAAGGCUGUAUUUCAAAAAUGAUUUUUAUGAAAAUCUAUUUAAAAUAGCUUCAAAAUUAAGUGAUUUUUCGAAAUUUUGAUAUCAAAAAAAGUUUCAAUAAAAUGAUCAAAUACCUAAAAUCACAUUUUAAUAAUAACUAUUCAAACCAAAUUUUCAUUUGAAGCUUUUAUAAAAAAUUUCUUUGUAAAUUUGUUUACACAAAAUUAUGUAACACUAUAAAAAUCUAUUUUAAAAAAAUCUAUAACAAACAGGCCCUAAAGCUGAAAUAAACAGACCCGUUAUUUAGUAUAAAAAAUAAUUUUUUUUUAUAAAAUAUAACAAGCCGAUUCUUCUUCUAACAAACGAGUGUAGUUCAAUUGAUAAUUAGACACUGGACCUGUUUUUUAAGCUUUAAAAAAAAACAAAUUUUUUAAAAAAAAAUUAAAGAUUUUUUUGUAGAGAUUUUGAAGAAAAUCUAAAGUUAUUUUCCAUUUGUUUAGAAUCAUAAAAAUCAAUUUUCUUAGAAAAUGGUUUAAAAAAAAAAUAGAUUUUGAAGAAAAAAAUGAUUUUGUUUUAACUAAAAUGAUUUUUAAAAAAAUCUGAAACAAAUACAAGUAAAAUAAAAAAAUGAUUUUUUUUGAAAAAAAUAGAUUUUUUUACUACUUUGAAGUAAUUAUAGUGUGUGUUAUAAUGUAUUAGAAAAUUAUAAUGCCUAAUAUAAGAAAUAUGUGAGAAAAACAAAAAUCUCAAUUGUAAUGUCUAUAAACAUUGAUAAACAUCGAUUCAAAUUCUCAUCACAUCUUUGAGAAUUCAAGCUUAACUUACACUCUUUUGGUUAACAUUUAAAUCUUACAAGACAAAGUCGUUGUGCCAUCAUACUAGUUUAUGCUUUUAAGAGUUGUUACGAUAUAUUAUGUAGAAACUCGGGAAGAUAUGAGAAUUCAAGCUUAACUUAUACUCUUUUGAUUAACAUUUAAAUCUUACGAGACAAAGUUGUUGUGCCAUCAUACUAGUUUAUGCUUAUAAGAGUUGUUACGAUAUACUCCCUCCGUCCAUUAAUAUAAGCCCCCAUUGAGGUUUUUUACGCAUAUCAAGAAAAGUUGGUAGUGUAAUAAAUGUGCACUUUUUGGGUAUUACAAUUACUAAAUUAUCCUUGGUGAAAAGAUGUAUUUGUAGUUGACUUUUCGGAUUUCAAUGUAAAGUAGGGUUAUAUUUGGAAAAGUAAUAAUAAAUGUGUCUAGGGAAUUGAAAAGGGACUUAUAUUUAGGGACAAAUUUUAUCUUUAAAAUGAUACUUUUAUAAUUAGGGACGGAGUAUUAUUAUCCAAACUUAGCAAGGUAAAAUAAGACCAAAAAAAGGGAAGAUAAAUUUGGGAAGAGAGAGAAAAAAAAUUCUUAAAAGAUAUGUUCAAAAAGAAACAUCGAAUAUAAGGUCAAGUCUAGACAAAACCUGAAUAUAAAGAUAAACUAGUAUAAAUUAUCCGUGGAUCAAUCUGAAGAAAUUUGUAAUUUUUUAAUUAUUUGUAAUUUUUUUGUUUUUGAAAACUUGGUAUUUCGGCCUAUGACCGACUAAUUCAAGGGGAUCAAUCUCACCGCCCACUUGCAGGGGCCCAUUUAAAAGCCAAAGUUUUUUUUUCUCAAUAUGGACUUAGCCCACCGAAAUUGGCACCAGGAAUCGAACCCGAGACCUUGAGAGGAACAUACUCCAAGGACACAAGCCAACAUCACUAGACCAACCCCAAGUGGGUUUUUAUUAUUAUAUGUAAAAUUAAUUUUGUAUUCAAUGUAAUAAUUUAUUUAAAUAUGAAAAAUGAUACAAAUUUUAGAAAUUUUAAAGAGGAAUGGUGGAAUGGGAGAGUGAUACUCCACUCUUUGUUCCCAACCCACAUGUUAUUUUAUCAACAUAAAAAAAUUGAAUAAUUAAAUUCUGUAUUAUUUUGUUGAUGAAGGUCAACAUACUUUAUAUUUUUUUUUGUUAAUAUAUGUAAAUAAAGAUGUAUUUAUUAUUUUAUAAAUUCAUUUUCUUUUAGUACAAGAAUACAAAGAUAUGGAAAAGAGAGAAAAUAAAAUUGUUAAAAGAUAUGUUAAAAAGAUAUGGAAAAGAGAGAAAAUAAAAUUGUUAAAAGAUAUGUUAAAAAGAUAUGGAAGAGAGAGAAAAUAAAAUUGUUAAAGAUAUGUUAAAAAGAAACGUUGAAAAUAAAGAUAGAUUUAAAAUUUGACCUAAACACAUGUGCCGUGAUUACAAACCUAUAAAUAUCACUUUUCACUCACCUCACCCUUCAACGCCUUUCAAAUUCUCCACCUUUCUUCUUUCUCUAAGCUCGUUGAUUUCAUCACUACUACACUCCAUCCACCAUCGAUCAUGAGGAAGAAAAUAACUCCAUCUUCUACUUUUGAUAAUCCAUGGUCUCGUUAUUAUCAUGAUGAUAAUCAGCAUACAAAAAUUAACCAUUCAACAAAUUUACAAGUUUCAACAAGAAUGUACAAUUGUGAUUUGUGUGGCAAAAGCUUCAGCUCCGGCAAUGCACUCGGUGGCCACAAAUCAUCUCACAACAAGAAACAAAAGACACAUCAUGAUGCAAUCAAUAAUAAGGGCACCGCCAUCAACUCAUAACAACAACAAGAUCAAUUUCUAUAAUAAGUCAGGUUUGCAAGAAAGUUUUUCCAUCCAACAAGGGUUUACAUGGGUCGACACAUGAGAUUGCAUAAAAUCAAGAAGAUUAACUUUUAUACUUAGGGCAUAAAUUUGUUUGUAUUGAAGGGAAUUAUUAUUCCCUAAAAGUUGGUACAUAUUGAUGGGUUCAAGAACCUUUCAUCUUUAGUGAUGUUAUUAUUAUUUUCUGUUAAAUUGUUGUGUCUUACCUUUUUAUUUGGAGAAUAUCGAUCUCUAGUUUACUUUUAUUUGGUUCAGUGUUGCAUAUUACACUUAAAAUCAAUUAGAUUAUACAGAUGGAAAGUUUCAAUGUUUUACUACUAGUGCAAAUAAAAGAUAGAUUUGUUUUUUUCGUAAAAAAGAUCAUGACAUAAUGAUACUAGAUUAAUUCUCUUAUUAUUAUUAUUAUUAUUAUUAUUAUUAUUAUUAUUAUUAUUAUUAUCCAACUUUCCUUUCUAAGUGCUUUUGAAUUUUUGCCCUACAAUUUUUAUAUAUUUCUGGUUGCAGAAGUUAAGAUAAACGAAUUUCAUAAAAGUGAACCUAUACCUAAUUCAUUGAUAAAACAGAAGAUAUGGUUAAGUUAUUGGUGUAAAAGAACAAGAAACAAACAAAUAUAAGUAAUUCAUAGUUGCCUUGCUUCCACAACACACUGGUAUAAUGUGCCUGUAACAGCGAUGGAUUAUAUGCCGCAGAAAGACUAGAUUAUGCAGAAAGAAUAUGGGUCUAGUUUACUGCAUAAUGCAGUCCAUGGACUGUUUUGUGUCCCUUUGGAAUUAUGCAUAAUAAUAAUAUAAACAUAGUGUGAUUUUACAUAACUUAUAAAAAGUCAUCGAUUCAAUCCUUCGUGAUAUAUGACAACAAGAAAAUUGUGUUUUUGAAAGGCAGCUAUUUUUUUACGGCUUUGAAGUAAUUAGAGUGUCUAUGAUGAUGUAUGAGGAAAUUCUAAUGUCUAUUAUAAGUAAUGUAUGAGAAAAACAAAAAUCUCAAUUGUAAUGUUGUAAAACCAGUAAGAUAGAGUACACAUUAACCAAAAAAAGAAACAUAGAAAAGAGCAACAGCCUAUUUCAGCGCAUAAGUUCAAGAAUCCUGCAAUUUCAAGCUUUCCAGCUGCUCCCGCGCUGUAACCUAUGGUCAAGAAAUGAAAUAACAACAAUUUAGCUUUGAGUCACAUUCCAUAGAACAGCAUUUCUUUAAAUAAGUUCAACCAUUCAACUAGCCUAAACACAAAUGUGAUAAACAAAUACAAUGAAGAAUAAUGAACAUAAAUAUCAAUUCAAUUCUAAUCACAUUUUUGAGAAUUCAAGCUUAACUUGCACUCUUUUGGUUAACAUUUAAAUCUUUGUGCCAUCAUACUAUUUUUUUUUGGCUUUCACCACCAGUUUAAUCUGGUUCGGGGGUCAGUUCUGGCAUCAAGUGGUUCCAGCCCCCUCCCGAUCGUAGUUGCGGGGGUUCGAACCGUGGUCCUCCCUACCAAGUUCAACGCCAAUCACCACUGAACCAACUAAAGAUUGGUUUUGUGCCAUCAUACUAUAUUAUGCUUAUAAGAGUUAUUCAACCUUAGCAGGGUAAAUUUCGUAAAAUCAUUCAUUAUAAGAUUGAAUGCUGUCUAAAAUUUCUACAUGUCCCUUAAUUAUAUGAUUUCUUCUACAAAAUUAAGGUUAACAGAUUAAUGCCUAUUUUGGAUUUAAAGUAACAAAUGAAGGUGAACCUUAGGUUUCAACAAAAGUGUACCCAAAACAGUUCCCUCGUCUUAUUUGAACAUCUACAGAAUUCAUCCAAGUUACUGUAUGGCCAUAAAUUUCUAAAUCCAUCUUCCGGAGACUCCUAUUCCAAUAACACAUACUUACUAUGCAAGCAUUAACAAAUUAAUCGAUAUAUAUAUUUUAAGAAUUAAAAGAAAAACAAGCGAUACUUACUUGCUCUAACUUCAGCUCAGCAUUCUUAAGUGAUCGCAGAAGAUGAAUUAUACGGUAUUGAAGUUUUUCAUUUUCUGUAGCAAGCAUCUGAGCCUGAAAAUCAAAUCAUUGGUAAGAGGAUACAACCCAAUACACAUUACAAAAAAUUAAAUGUAUAUAACUUUGUAAAUGAGUAUAACCUUUUCUUUUUCUGAUUUUAACUCAGAGUUCGCUACUUCUAGCUUUGACUGAAGAUCAUUAACCUUUUGUAACUGUUCCUCAUUCUCAGUAUCUAAGAUAGAGCAAAUGUAAUUCAGUUUCAUAAUAUUAGGAACCGACUUGAACCUGAAAACACUUUUUUUGCUUUGUGUUGUGUACUUAGCACCUACCUUUUCUACUAUGGAUAGCAGCUUCAAGUCUUGAUAUGCGAUCCUAAAAUAUACAGUGGUAAGGUAAGAAUAAUUCAGUAAUUUACUUAUAGAAAAAGCCUUAGAAAAAUAAAAAAAUAGAACGAUAUAGUGAAGUAACUCAGUUUUUGGGGCAAGAGGAAACAAGAUCAGAUGGACAUAGGCCACAAGACAAGAGUCAUUUGAUUUUCAACUUAAUGAUGAUAUGAUUAAUAUCAAUGUCACUACUCGCUAUAUCAUAUAGAGUUUGAAGUUUUUCCAAUUCGAACAAGGAAAUGUCAUUUAAAUCUUUGUUUUUUAUUGCAAGGGAAUAUAGUGAAAACUAUCAUCCAUAUUAUCGGCACAAUAUAUAAGCAAAUUUGUGGAAACAGAACGUCUAUUUAAGGGACAAUUCUUGGUUUCUGUAAUUUUACACUGAUGUGUUGUUCCACCACUAAGUAUAACCUAGAGUCACACAAAGUUAAGUUUCACAUAAGCUAGGUUGGUUGGUUGGAUUCACCGGCAGAAUUACUUACUAGGCCAAGGUCCACUCGCAGAUUGGACCGGGUCACCCAAACAAAGUAAAGCAUCUCGGACCAAAUCAAGGACACGCCCUAAAGCACACCUGAUCGUAUCCGUUCAGGACACAUGUACCGCAGGAUUUUACCCUGCAGGUAAUCCACUUACACCUUUCCCCCGGGGUGUUCAAGAAGGUUCUAGGUCUCUUGAAACCCUAAUUCUCUGUCUAUAAAAGACUAACUCAUGGUAUAGGUCAGUAUGUCAUAUCUAAACCCUACAUCUCACAUUUGGAGCCUACUGACUUGAUCGUCGGAGUGUAAGUAUAAGGUUUACCGUUCAACCACCGGAAACAGCUUUACUAUCCAUACAUAUGAUCUCAUGUCCGGAGAGGAUGACUUACUAAAUAUAAUACCCUAUUGAUAGUGUUGUUUGUGGAACAAGUGAAACAAUUGAACCCCAUAUAAGACUAGUGAUUAUCAACAAGAGUCAUUCAUU
rnacentral:lncRNA from 1 species